CAAGAGUAUUUCAGUUUGGCUAUAUGCCUCUGAAAAUCUCCACCCUUUGUUUACAUUACCUUUUGUUGUUGCCUCGGUGGGUGCUACCAUACACCUGCCGGCAGACAUCUUUAAAAUCCUUGAUUUAAUACUAUAGUCAGAGCUGUAACAAGCAAAAGAUUAAUAAAUCA
rnacentral:misc_RNA from 1 species